GCAUAUCAAUAAGCGGAGGAAAAGAAACCAACAGGGAUUGCCCUAGUAACGGCGAGUGAAGCGGCAACAGCUCAAAUUUGAAAGCUGGCCUUCGGGUCCGCAUUGUAAUUUGUAGAGGAUGCUUUUGGUGCGGUACCUUCCGAGUUCCUUGGAACAGGACGCCUUAGAGGGUGAGAGCCCCGUACGGUUGGAUGCCUAGCCUCUGUAAAGCUCCUUCGACGAGUCGAGUAGUUUGGGAAUGCUGCUCUAAAUGGGAGGUAAAUUUCUUCUAAAGCUAAAUAUUGGCCAGAGACCGAUAGCGCACAAGUAGAGUGAUCGAAAGAUGAAAAGCACUUUGAAAAGAGGGUUAAAUAGCACGUGAAAUUGUUGAAAGGGAAGGAUUUAUGACCAGACUUUUGUCUGGCGGAUCAUCCAGUGUUCUCACUGGUGCACUUCGCCAGGCCGAGGCCAGCAUCGGUUUCGGAAGGGGGAUAAAGGCUUCGGGAAUGUGACCCUCUCGGGGGUGUUAUAGCCCGUUGCGAAAUACCCUUUCUGGGACCGAGGUCCGCGCUCUGCAAGGAUGCUGGCAUAAUGGUCAUCAAUCACCCGUCUUGAAACACGGACCAAGGAGUCGAACAUUUGUGCGAGUGUUUGGGUGUCAAACCCUCACGCGUAAUGAAAGUGAACGGAGGUGAGAGCCUUAGGGUGCAUCAUCGACCGAUCCUGAUGUCUUCGGAUGGAUUUGAGUAGGAGCAUAACUGUUCGGACCCGAAAGAUGGUGAACUAUGCGUGGAUAGGGUGAAGCCAGAGGAAACUCUGGUGGAGGCUCGCAGCGGUUCUGACGUGCAAAUCGAUCGUCAAAUCUGCGCAUGGGGGCGAAAGACUAAUCGAACCAUCUAGUAGCUGGUUACCGCCGAA
rnacentral:rRNA from 1 species